UGGUGAGGUAACGGCUCACCAAGGCGACGAUGGGUAGCCGGCCUGAGAGGGUGUACGGCCACACUGGGACUGAGACACGGCCCAGACUCCUACGGGAGGCAGCAGUAGGGAAUAUUGCGCAAUGGACGGAAGUCUGACGCAGCGACGCCGCGUGAGCGAUGAAGGCCUUCGGGUCGUAAAGCUCUGUCCUUGGGGAAGAAGGUCUUCGGACUUGACGGUACCCAAGAAGAAAGCCCCGGCUAACUACGUGCCAGCAGCCGCGGUAAUACGUAGGGGGCGAGCGUUGUCCGGAAUUACUGGGCGUAAAGGGUGCGUAGGCGGCCCUUUAAGUCAGAUGUGAAAGGCCACGGCUUAACCGUGGGAUUGCAUUUGAAACUGGAGGGCUUGAGUGUCGGAGAGGGUAGUGGAAUUCCCAGUGUAGCGGUGAAAUGCGUAGAUAUUGGGAGGAACACCAGUGGCGAAGGCGACUACCUGGACGAUAACUGACGCUGAGGCACGAAAGCUAGGGGAGCAAACAGGAUUAGGUACCCUGGUAGUCCUAGCCGUAAACGAUGGGUACUAGGUGUAGGUGGUUUCGAUACCAUCUGUGCCGGAGUUAA
rnacentral:rRNA from 1 species